AACGGCGGCGAGCGGACGACUACGUUUACGGGGUGUCCCGGAGGGCCACAGUAGUGGCUUACAGAAGAGACGAAAUGUGGUCUGAGGGACGAUAUGAAUAUGAUAGAAUUCCGAGAGAACGAGCACCUCCUCGAAGUCAUCCCAGUGAUGGCUACAAUAGACUAGUUAAUAUUGUGCCAAAGAAACCACCACUGCUAGACAGACCUGGUGAAGGAAGCUACAAUAGAUAUUAUAGUCAUGUUGAUUACCGAGACUAUGACGAGGGCCGCAGUUUUUCUCAUGAUGGAAGAAGUGGUCCACCUCACAGAGGAGAUGAAUCUGGCUAUAGAUGGACAAGAGAUGAUCAUUCUGCAAGCAGGCAACCUGAAUACAGGGAAAUGAGAGAUGGCUUUAGAAGAAAAAGUUUCUACUCUUCCCAUUAUGCGAGAGAGUGGUCUCCUCAUAAAAGGGACAAUACUUUUUUCAGAGAAUCACCUGUUGGCCAAAAGGAUUCUCCACACAGCAGAUCUGGUUCCAGUGUCAGUAGCAGAAGCUACUCUCCAGAAAGGAGCAAAUCAUACUCUUUCCAUCAGUCUCAACAUAGAAAGUCCGUGCGUCCUAGUGCCUCCUACAAACGGCAGAAUGAAGGAAAUCCUGAAAGAGAUAAAGAGAGGCCUGUCCAGUCUUUGAAAACAUCAAGAGAUACUUCACCCUCAAGUGGUUCAGCAGUUUCUUCAUCAAAGGUGUUAGACAAACCCAGUAGGCUAACUGAAAAGGAGCUUGCUGAGGCUGCAAGCAAGUGGGCUGCUGAAAAGCUAGAGAAAUCAGAUGAAAGUAACUUGCCUGAAAUUUCUAAGUAUGAGGCGGGAUCCACAGCACCAUUGUUUACUGAGCAGCCAGAGGAACCUGAGUCAAACACAACACAUGGGAUAGAAUUAUUUGAAGAUAGUCAGCUAACUACUCGCUCUAAAGCAAUAGCAUCAAAAACCAAAGAGAUUGAACAGGUUUACCGACAAGACUGUGAAACUUUUGGGAUGGUGGUGAAAAUGCUGAUUGAAAAAGAUCCUUCAUUAGAAAAGUCAUACAGUUUGCAUUGAGGCAGAAUUUACAUGAAAUAGGUGAGCGGUGUGUUGAAGAACUCAAGCAUUUCAUUGCAGAGUAUGAUACUUCCACUCAAGAUUUUGGAGAGCCUUUUUAGAUUUUUUUGCUCAGACCAGAAUAAAAAAACAGUUUCUAAAAAUUUUUUUUCCUGGAUUGUGUAAAUCCUUAAUAUAUGGAAUUUUUGUGAUGCAGCGAAAUACUUUAUGAUAGUUGACCACAUUUCAAUAUUAAAUAAACAUCUAAAAUAGUCUGUUUAAAAUGUUUAAUUAGAAUUUUUGUAUUUUUUUUUUUUAGAGAUGGGAUUUCACCAUGUUGGCCAGGCUAGUCUCUAACUCCUGGCCUCAAGUGAUCUGCCUGCCUCAGCCUCCCAAAGUGUUGAGAUUACAGGCGUGAGCCACCGCUCCCAGCCAACACAUGAUACCAUCUGAAAAUGUUAGAAUUCUAAGUUGUGAUUUUAUUGACUUGUUGCUUGCUUUUUCUUAGGCUUUGUAACUUGUAAUAUGUUAAAGUGUACUAUCCUAAUAAACUGAAUACUUUGGUAUCUUAAAAAAAAAAAAAAGAAAGAAUAUUUU